rnacentral:rRNA from 1 species
CAGCCGCCGCGGGAAAACGGAGGGAGCUAGCGUUAUUCGGAAUUACUGGGCGUAAAGCGCACGUAGGCGGUUUGUUAAGUCAGAUGUGUAAUCCCCGAGCUUAACUUGGGAACUGCAUUUGAAACUGGCAAGCUAGAGUCUUGUAGAGGGGGGUAGGAUUCCAGGUGUAGCGGUGAAAUGCGUAGAAAUCUGGAGGAAUACCGGUGGCGAAGGCGGCCCCCUGGACAAAGACUGACGCUCAGGUGCGAAAGCGUGGGGAGCAAACAGCAUUAGAUACCCCUGUAGUCCCUGUCUCUUAUAC